CUUUCAAUUUUCAGAAAGGAAGAUUCCUAUUGGUAAGAGGCCAGUCAAUUUAUCUGUGAUUGGCCUGACACAGAGGAACCUGUCUGGGGAUGAGAACAUGACUCCACCUGAUUACCCAUCACCACCCACACCAUCAUCUGCUCCUGGGAACAUGCCCCUCACCUCUGCUGAUAGAGACCUGAGUGCAAACUACAAACCAGUUGCUGUUCUCCAGCUGAAGGAGGAGCCUGUGGCUAAGGCCGAUGGCGAGAUCACUUUUCGCCAGAAUGCCUCACUACUGGAUACCAACGGUUCUGACAGCUUCUUCCUCAAACAGGAACCGUAAGACAUACGUCUUGAGACGCACUCGACUGCCUGUGUCUGCAGUCUGUCAACAGCCCAGCGCUUAAUGGCAUGAAUGAGCAGUCCUGAUAAUCAGAAGACUAACUAAAAUGAAAAAGAUCCUCAUCUGUGCCAGUUUUCAGGCUUGCUGUCCCAGUUUCACUGUGAACAAUCCCUUUUAAAUUCCUCUUUUAUUAGGAUAGGAUUGCUAUUGGAAGGCUGUUUUUGAGAUACAAGGGUUUAAGUUGUAGGUAAAUUGUUGAGCUCAUAUUUAGCUGGCCAAGCGAUGGGUAAAGCGCAAAGCGCUUGUGUUAAACAGCAGCCAUAUAAGAACUUGCAUCAAAAAUAGUGUUUACAGUAAUCAUUUAUUUUUGUCUUUAGAGAUUUAAGCUGGGUUUUUUUUUGGGGGGGGGGGGGUCGUGUCUUUUUCAGUGUUUUCUUGUAUGCUGAUGACUGUCAUGUGGUAUGAAUCACAGAAGUAUUCAUUCUUUUCAGACAAGUAUGAAAAAGGUCAAAUGGCAAGCUGUAGAGUGAGCCACAUAUGAGACUGUCCAACUUUACACUUCAAACAGGAACAACAUCUGUCAACAGUUGGCCACAAUAGAGAGUUUUCAGACAAUGCUGAUUGUUUUACGGGUAAAGAGCAUUGUUCAAAACUUUGGCUUUUUACAGGCCAGAAUUUCAUUACAUACCACAUGUGUGUUAUUUGAACUGCAUUUGGCCACAAACGCUGGUUGAAUUUGUAGUCAGAAAAAAACAAUAUGCAAAUGCAGGUGCUAUCGUAAUGUUUUAUAGGCAUAAAAAAGAUUUUAAGAGUGAUCAUCUAUAUAAAUACUACAAUAUUGAAUAACAAAACAAAUAUAAAAAUAUCAAUCUGCAAAAUGUACAAAUAGCAUACAGAAACAGAAUUUUAUUUCAGAGCUGAAAACAUUUAUACUACAUAAAUUAAAGAUAUAUGUGUAGGUAUACUGCACACCAUUAAAUCAAUUUAUACAUCAGUAAUGUUAACAAACUGACACUCAGGAACUCAUGUUUGUGGUUUGUUGGUUUGCUUAUAGCAGGAUAAAGAAAGUGUUUUUUAGAUGUGAAUCUGUCUGUACUGCUCUCUCUAGUUAGAAGCUUGACAUUUGUUUCUCUUUUUAUGUAUUGGCACAUUUGACCUCAGUCUCUGUUUGGCCAUUAUUGUGUAUUCCACAUGUCUGUUUUGUUGGGAUAAUUAUUAGCUCAAUGUGGAUUAAAUGUUAUGUUAAUUAUAUUAGAAAGAAUAGUAGUUGGGACAGUUGAAGACAUUACUAAGCCUCCCAUUCAGCAAUAAGGUUAAUACAUGGUCAAUUACCCAGCAGUGAGGGGUAAGAGGUUAAUAUUUACUCUGUCUGAAAGCCCUGAUAAUUGUUCUUAUGCUGUUUGUAUUUAUGUGCAUCCUGCUUAGCUUUGAAAUUUUGAAAAUGGUUGAUAAAUUCUUCACGUUUGCUUUUUCCAACUGUGCUUAAGAGACCAAAAGAUGGACAAAUACUGUAAAAUGUUAUGGCGUGACUGUUGACAGGCAAAGGCCUGUGUACCAGAAUUGCAUUUCUGUGUCAAAAACUCUUGUAAUACAAUGAGGCAAGCAGAAUCCAACACACUGGUUGCACUGUUCCCAGGGGUAUGUUAAUAGAGGAAUAUGGAAUCCAUCAUCUCAGCACAAAGGAAACCCACACAGACAGUUCAGUGUUAACCAACAUCCUGUAUUCUCAUCAACAAGACACAUGGGAUGGAUACCUAUGGACACAACCUAUGUGCAAGCUGUUAGUCGUUUAUGUGAAAACAGCAUCACUGUAUUCUGGUGCUAAAUAUAUUUAAGUGAUCUUGUUUAAAAAAAGUUGGAAUGACUUCAGAAACUGUGAUCAUAGUUGAGAAUCAGUACCCUUCAUAUUUGUAUUCUUGUAUUUGCAAUAUGAUAUAUAGUGAUUUGUAACACUAAACAUCUGUCAUUUUGCAUGGAACUUAUGGGGAUAUCAAGAUGGAGGUUUUUAUAGUUCAGUGUUCUAAUUAUAUUUAUGUUCUUGGCUUCCAUUAAUAUGUGCUGUCAACAUGAGGUUUAUUAAGCUAUAUCAAAUAUGUAUAAAUCUAAAUAUAUAUGUAUUUGGAAAGAGAACUAUGGAUGUUUUUUUAAAUAAACUUACAUUUUUUGCUGCAUCUUGAAGUCCUAUGGGCAACUGGAUUUGGCUGAUCCUACUGGCUUCAAUACCUUUCAUUUGGU
ensembl:lncRNA